rnacentral:rRNA from 1 species
GACGAACGCUGGCGGCGUGCUUAACACAUGCAAGUCGAACGGCGAAGCGCCUUCCUUUUUGGUGGGUGUGGAUGAGUGGCGAACGGUUGAGUAACACGUGAGUAACCUGCCCCCUUCUUCUGGAUAACCGCAUGAAAGUGUGUCUAAUACGGGAUAUUCUGGGUCUGUCGCAUGAUGGGUCUGUGAAAGAUGUUGUUUCGGUGGGGGAUGGGCUCGCGGCCUAUCAGCUUGUUGGUGGGGUGAUGGCCUACCAAGGCGGUGGAGGGUAGCCGGCCUGAGAGGGUGGCCGGCCACAGUGGGAGUGAGACACGGGUGGGACUCAGACGGGGGGCAGCAGUGGGGAAUAGUGAACAAUGGGGGAAAGCGUGCAGCAGCGACGCCGCGUGAGGGAUGGCGGCCUGCGGGUUGUGAAGGUCUUUGGCCAGUGAAGCAGGCCUGCCUCGUUUGUGGGUGGGUUGACGGUAGCUGGAGAAGAAGCGCCGGCUAACUACGUG